GAGGGAGCCUGGUUGGCCUAAUUCGGAUCGAAUGAGAAUACUGAGGGCUGUGCCGGCUAUGCCAGCUCAUGCACCGAAUAGAAGAUAGAGGGUACCAAUAUCUUUAUGGUUAGUUGAAAAUAGUCAGCGAUUAAUGAACAUAGGUAAUAUGGCUGAGUAGGCAUUAGACUGUAAAUCUAAAGACGGGGAGCAAUCCCCUGUUACCAAGCCCUGCAGUGGAAUCACGUCGAAUUGCAAAUUCGGAAAAGCAACUCAGAGUGCCGGGGCUUUUCCCGCCUCCCUUUCUUAAGGCGGGAAAAGUAGAUUAAGACUUGCUGGUUAAAGUGUUUAGCUGUUAACUAAAAUUUUGUAGGAUCAAGGCCUACUAGUCUAG
rnacentral:tRNA from 1 species